rnacentral:rRNA from 1 species
UACGUAGGUGGCAAGCGUUGUUCGGAAUUAUUGGGCGUAAAGGGCGCGUAGGCGGUUUGUUAAGUCGGCUGUGAAAGCCCGGGGCUCAACCCCGGAGGGUCAGCCGAUACUGGCAGACUAGAGUGCGGUAGAGGGUAGUGGAAUUCCCGGUGUAGCGGUGAAAUGCGUAGAGAUCGGGAGGAACACCAGUGGCGAAGGCGGCUACCUGGACCAGCACUGACACUGAGGCACGAAAGCGUGGGGAGCAAACAGG